AUAAGAAUUACCUGGGAAUCUUGUUAAGAAGCAGAAUAUGAUACAGUAGGUCCAGGCUGGGCUGAGAUUCUGCAUGUUUAACAAGCCCCCAGGUGAUGCCCAU
rnacentral:pre_miRNA from 1 species